UAAGAAUGAUUUUUAUUAUGAUCCUAAUUGGAAUGAUAUAGAGAAGGUUAGCACGGCUCCAUUCAAGAAUGACAUACAAAUGUGUGAAAUGCUCUAUAUUAAA